rnacentral:rRNA from 1 species
AUUGAACGCUGGCGGCAUGCUUUACACAUGCAAGUCGAACGGUAACAGGCCGCAAGGUGCUGACGAGUGGCGAACGGGUGAGUAAUGCAUCGGAACGUGCCCAGUCGUGGGGGAUAACGCAGCGAAAGCUGCGCUAAUACCGCAUACGAUCUAUGGAUGAAAGCGGGGGACCGUAAGGCCUCGCGCGAUCGGAGCGGCCGAUGUCCGAUUAGGGAGUUGGUGGGGUAAAGGCUCACCAAGCCAACGAUCUGUAGCUGGUCUGAGAGGACGACCAGCCAAACUGGGACUGAGACACGGCCCAGACUCCUACGGGAGGCAGCAGUGGGGAAUUUUGGACAAUGGGCGCAAGCCUGAUCCAGCAAUGCCGCGUGCAGGAAGAAGGCCUUCGGGUUGUAAACUGCUUUUGUACGGAACGAAACGGUCCUGGUUAAUACCCGGGGCUAAUGACGGUACCGUAAGAAUAAGCACCGGCUAACUACGUGCCAGCAGCCGCCGUAA